CGGAGAAGUUUCGCUCCGGUCAACAUUUACUGUUUGGGGACGAGCAGCAGCAGCAACAAGGAGGAGGAGGAGAAGAAGAAGAAGGUAGAGAAGAAGAAGAAGUAGACUGAGCAGCUUUAAAGGGAAUGUCGAGGAAUAUCUGACAGCACAGAAACAACACACCUCAGCUUUUACCUCUUUUUUAUUCCCCCCAAAAAACCUUCCGUAAAACAAACCACCGGGCUGUGCCAUCAUUGAUGAAGAAGUGAAGCUCGGGUCAGAAGGACAGCGGCCGGACUGGUGUCUCCUCCGAGGCUUGAUUUGCGGCUGAAGAAGAAGGAAGAGUGCAAAAAUAAAACGUCCGAGUGAAAAAGUGACACAAGAGUCAGAAUGAAUAACAACAAAAUCGAGAAAGAAAACGAGCAGAGUGAAUUCAGCAACCACGAAGAGGAGGUCCGAACACUAUUUGUCAGUGGACUGCCGCUGGAUAUAAAACCUCGGGAGCUGUAUCUCCUCUUCAGACCAUUUAAGGGUUACGAAGGCUCCUUGAUAAAACUCACUUCGAAACAGCCGGUGGGGUUUGUCAGCUUUGACAGUCGAUCAGAGGCCGAGGCUGCUAAGAAUGCCUUGAACGGGGUCCGUUUUGAUCCGGAGAUCCCUCAAACUCUGCGGCUGGAGUUCGCCAAGGCCAACACCAAGAUGGCCAAAAACAAGCUGGUCGGCACUCCCAACCCCCCUCCGUCGCAGCAGAGCCCCGGGCCACAGUUCAUCAGCAGAGACCCAUAUGAGCUCACAGUGCCUGCUCUAUAUCCCAGCAGCCCAGACGUGUGGGCUUCAUACCCGCUGUACCCGGCGGAGCUGUCGCCGGCCCUCCCACCCGCUUUCACCUACCCCUCCUCGCUCCACGCUCAGAUCCGUUGGCUCCCACCUGCAGAUGGAACUCCUCAGGGAUGGAAGUCCAGGCAGUUCUGCUGAAGUUCCUGAUGUGUGAUGGUGGCCAUGGCCGGCUGUGACGUUGCCGACUGCCUCUCGUGUCCUAUUAGAAACCAGGAGGACCGAACCGACCCGACCCGACCCGGCUCUCGGAGCAGCAAACCAUCGGCAGCGGCAGCCUCGCGGGCCUCAGGACAAACCAGACCUCAGCCUCCAUCACACAUCGAGCCCUUCCAAAGUCCCUCCAACUUGUUUUUUUUUUUUCUUCUUUUUUUAUACUGUUACAUACUCGAGAUUUUACUGUGGCGCUUUGGCUACACCUCCUCCGACACCUGCGCGAAAGGUACCGACAAAGGUGCGUCCUUUGUCCACCGACUGACUGCAUCGCCUGUUUAACGUUAGCGGGUGUCUCGCUUUGCAUUCUUGUAUAUGCAAGUGUAAAGACGGACCACCGGGAAGGAGUGCAAAAACGUGAUUUAUGCAGCCACUUUGCAAGGCCAGAUGAACGGAAGUGUGGCUAAAGUGCUACUGGGUAACGUUAUUAUAUGACUAUAAUUAUUACUAUUCUGUAUAUCAUUCAUAUUAAUGUUAUUAUGAUAAUUAAAUACAUGUUGAAGCAUGACUUUGCAAAAAAAAAGAAAAAACAAUGCUGUACAUUUUUAGAUAUUUUAAAGAAAUACAAAAAAGUAUUUUUGUAAUCAAGACGAUGUUAAAGUGUGUGAGGAACUUUCAUACAUUUUAUUUUAUUUCGCCCUUUCGUGUUUUCGUGCCAUUAUAAAUAAUACGUCAGCCCCUGCUAUACCAAAGCAGUCCUGUCAGUUUCUACAUGCUGUGUGGAUUUUUUUUUCUUUACCUGAUGAAAGCCGACAACAGAAGCCCUUUGUGUGGUCAACGCACCUGAUCCAGCUUGUAAAUCUGCAGUUUGAAGGUAAUCAGACGUGCUAAAAAGAGGUAUUGACAGGAAUAAGCCAUCGCCGGUGAAGGUAGACUGACCCAAAGUGAGCCCUGCUAUAAUUAGGAAAUCUGUUCCUUCGAUGUGUAGCAGGUGGACGGCAACACAGUAUAGAGAAACAAAAGACCAAAGGCAUUUUUCCUUUUUUUCUUUUACACUGGAGAGCUAUUUCAUUUUUUGACUGCUUUGUAGUCUGAUUUCUUAUGAAGUAUGACAUUAUUUUUCGCUGCAUGUCCCUUUUGGUGUCACUCCAAAGAGCCACUCUGCAUCUGAAAGGACGUCCACUUUAAGCAAUUUGUCUCUUUUGUCUAUUUUUAGGGAGAGCCAGCGUGUUUUUGUAAAGUUUGAAUUUACAUAGUGAUGAUUGGAGUAUUAAAAAAGAAAAACAAAUAAUCUUUUGUAAUCUUUCUGGGCCUGCAAUAACAUCUUUGCUGUACGACAUAUCAUCCACUUGAUCAUAUUUCUGUGACAUUUUGACGCCGGGAUUCGUGUCAAAUUUGUGCAAAAACAAACCGUGAUUCUUGUAUUUUUCUGAUAAAGUCACAUUUCACCGUGAUGUGACAAUCAAAAACCUGAAAUACUGUAAAAUGUUCCCUUUUUUCCUGCCCAGGUUGUGUACAAUCAUAUUGGAGCGGUUGAGUCAUAUACAGUAGUCAGUGUUUGUAAUGAAUAAUGAUAAUAUGCAUCAUAUACUGUAUAUCAUAGCGACUGAUUUUCUGAAGCGGUUUUUGCUUUUACAUUUUUUUAAAGCCGAGUGUGGCACCAAAAUUUAUUAGAACAAGUAUUUAUAACAAUGUGUGUGCGUGUGUGUGAGAGUGUGUUUUUUAAUGGUCUUUUUAAAGCCCAUCCUAUAAUUCAUUGUAAGUAUUAUUGUAAGUUUAAAUUGUAUAUUCAUUUGCUAAUUUUCUAGAGCUUCUUUAUUUUUUCGUCCGAUUAGAGCAUACUGUAUGUGACGUGUGAAUACUGUUUUAUCUACAUAAUUCACUGUGAAAUCCGGAGGAAAAACUGCUCUUUGAACGAAUGGCUGUUGUUGUGUUUUUGCCAGCAGGAUGGUACAGAAGCUCCUGGAGAUUAAUACGACGAUCCCUCCCUGUUUUUGUCGAUGAGAAAUAUUCCUUUUCAGUAUAUCGUGUGCGUAGCUGUGUGUUCUGUGCAUGUUCACGGCAUGUGUGUGAUCCUAUUUUUCUUUUUUUUUCUUAAUGCAUACAGUACUGUUGAUAUUUAUGUACUUUAGCCGCUGUAAGGAGAAACUUUAUUUCGGUGAAUUGCAGAGGUUCGUUUGAAACUGAAAAAAAAAAAAAGAGUUGAUCAAAAUGAGAAGUUUUUAAGAAAAUGUUAAAUGAAGACAUUUCAGGCCAUCUGCCAUUAAAGAUUGCCAUUAUC